rnacentral:rRNA from 1 species
GACAGAGGUGCCGAGCGUUAGGCGGAAUCACUGGGCUUAAAGCGUGUGUAGGCGGGUCGUUAAGUGUCUUGUGAAAUCCCACCGCUCAACGGUGGAACCGCUGGGCAUACUGGCGAUCUUGAGCAGUCCAGGGGAGAACGGAAUUCCUGGUGUAGCGGUGAAAUGCGCAGAUAUCAGGAGGAACACCGGUGGCGAAGGCGGUUCUCUGGGCAUUACCUGACGCUGAGGAGCGAAAGUGUGGGGAGCGAACAGG